rnacentral:lncRNA from 1 species
GUCAUAUUGGUGAAAACAAUUAAUUGGACAAAUCCAUAAUUAAAACGGGGUAACAGCCCUCACCUCCUGAUGGUUGGUGCCAAAAUGUUGUGGCUACUCUGAAGAAUCACAGGUUUGACCAAGACAGAGAGGGGCUGUGAAGAUACUCAAGGAACACCUCCAUCACCAUAAACCCUCGUCUCCCAGGGUCCUUCUACCUACCAAGCCAUGCUGGUAACUGAAUGUAUUAUUUUACAUAGCUAACAAACCCAGAAACCAAUCAAGAUUCCUACCAUUCACUCCAUCAUCUAAAUCCAUCUGUCCAGCUUGCAUGGGUUGGAUUUGGUUCAAGUGUUUCUUCAAAGGUUCAUUGAAGCCUGGUCUACAGUAUAUCAUUGAUAGGUUGUGCUAGCGGAGAGGUCUACGGUAAGUUUCUGAAUUCCCUUAUGGGGGGCUGGAAUUGCUAGUUCUUUCUGGAGUGCUCUAAAACCAAUCCUAGU